rnacentral:rRNA from 1 species
GGAAGGAUCAUUAUUGAAUGAACUUGGUGUGGUUGUUGCUGGCCCUCUCGGGGGCAUGUGCACACCCACCAUCCUCAUCUCUCCACCUGUGCACCUCUUGUAGACCUGGAUAGACUUUCCGAGGCAACUCGGUCGGGAAGAUUGCUGCGCUCUGUGAGCCAGCUUUCUUUGCAUGUCCAGGCCUAUGUUUUUCAUAUACCCCUAUAGAAUGUAACAGAAUGCAUCAUUGGGCCUUGUGCCUAUAAACCUUAUACAACUUUCAGCAACGGAUCUCUUGGCUCUCGCAUCGAUGAAGAACGCAGCGAAAUGCGAUAAGUAAUGUGAAUUGCAGAAUUCAGUGAAUCAUCGAAUCUUUGAACGCACCUUGCGCUCCUUGGUAUUCCGAGGAGCAUGCCUGUUUGAGUGUCAUUAACUUCUCAACCUUAUUAGCUUUUGUUGAUAAUGGAUUGGAUGUGGGGGUUUAUUUGCUGGCUUCUUCCCAGAGAUCAGCUCCCCUUAAAUGCAUUAGCUGGUGCCCCGCGUGGACCAUCUAUUGGUGUGAUAAUUAUCUACGCCGUGGAUGUCUGCAAUCAUAUGGGUUUUGCACUGCUUCUAACCGUCUGUUCAUUCGGACAAUACAUGACAAUUUGACCUCAAAUCAGGUAGGACUACCCGCUGAACUUAAGCAUAUCAAUAAGCGGAGGAAAAGAAACUAACAAGGAUUCCCCUAGUAACUGCGAGUGAAGCGGGAAAAGCUCAAAUUUAAAAUCUGGCGGUCUCCGGCCGUCCGAGUUGUAAUCUAGAGAAGUGUUAUCCGCGCUGG